rnacentral:rRNA from 1 species
AUGUGACUGUGGAUCGAGCCCAUGUGAAGCCUCUUCGAUGAGUCGAGUUGUUUGGGAAUGCAGCUCAAAAUGGGUGGUAAAUUUCAUCUAAAGCUAAAUACUGGCUGGAGACCGAUAGCGCACAAGUAGAGUGAUCGAAAGAUGAAAAGCACUUUGGAAAGAGAGUCAAAAAGUACGUGAAAUUGUUGAAAGGGAAGCGCUUGCAACCAGACCUGCCCGUAGGCGAUCUGCCGCUGUUCUCAGCGGUUCACUCGCUCUACGAUCAGGCCAGCAUCGGUUCGGGCGGUCGGAUAAAGGCCUUGGGAAUGUAGCUUCCUUCGGGGAGUCUUAUAGCCCUCGGUGCAAUGCGGCCAGCCGGGACCGAGGACCGCGCUUCGGCUAGGAUGCUGGCGUAAUGGUUGCAAGCGACCCGUCUUGAAACACGGACCAAGGAGUCUAACAUCUAUGCGAGUGUUUGGGUGUCAAACCCAUGCGCGGAAUGAAAGUGAACGGAGGUGAGACCCCUUAAGGGCGCAUCAUCGACCGAUCCAGAUGUCUUCGGAUGGAUUUGAGUAUGAGCAUAGCUGUUGGGACCCGAAAGAUGGUGAACUAUGCCUGAAUAGGGUGAAGCCAGAGGAAACUCUGGUGGAGGCUCGCAGCGGUUCUGACGUGCAAAUCGAUCGUCAAAUUUGGGUAUAGGGGCGAAAGACUAAUCGAACCAUCUAGU